rnacentral:sRNA from 1 species
UCUUCCCUCCCCAUCACGGAUCUGUGCCCAGCGAUCCCUUGCUUUGAACAAAGUCCAAGGUUGAAUGCUGCGGCAGGCUCGAUAACUCCAUGGAGCCACCCACUUGUUAUGGUGUCAAUUUUCCUAUCGACAGGUCCAAUACGAAUGUCGGCACUUGAGCUUCGGCUCGUGCUGCGAGAACCUAUAUUCCACCUCCCUCUUCCGAGACCGUCGGUCUAUGAGGUUGGGAAAAACCAUAUGGUCUACAUGU